rnacentral:rRNA from 1 species
AGUGAACGCUGGCGGUAGGCCUAACACAUGCAAGUCGAACGGCAGCACAGUAAGAGCUUGCUCUUACGGGUGGCGAGUGGCGGACGGGUGAGGAAUACAUCGGAAUCUACUUUUUCGUGGGGGAUAACGUAGGGAAACUUACGCUAAUACCGCAUACGACCUACGGGUGAAAGCAGGGGAUCUUCGGACCUUGCGCGAUUGAAUGAGCCGACGUCGGAUUCGCGUGUUGGCGGGGUAAAGGCCCACCAAGGCGACGACCCGUAGCUGGUCUGAGAGGAGGGGCGGCGAGGGUGUGACGGGGACACGGGCCAGACUCCGGCGGGAGGCAGCGGGGGGGGGGAGUGCACAAUGGGCGUAAGCAUGAUGCAGCGACGUCGCGUGAGAGAUGUAGGCCUACGGGUUGGCAACCUCUUUCUCCGGGGGAGAAGGCCCCGGCCGUUGCGGCGGGGUUGACGGUAGCCGGGUAUGAAGCGCCGGCUAACUACGUG